AACAGGGAUUGCCCCAGUAACGGCGAGUGAAGCGGCAGCAGCUCAAAUUUGAAAUCUGGGGUCCCCGACCUCCGAGUUGUAAUUUGGAGAGGCAUCUUCGGGGGGGAGCGCCGGCCCAUGUUCCUUGGGACAGGACGUCACAGAGGGUGAGAAUCCCGUGCCUGGCCGGCUGCCUCCUCCCGGGUGAAGGGCCUUCGACGAGUCGAGUUGUUUGGGAAUGCAGCUCCAAGUGGGUGGUAAAUUUCAUCUAAAGCUAAAUACCGGCGGGAGACCGAUAGCGCACAAGUAGAGUGAUCGAAAGAUGAAAAGCACUUUGAAAAUAGAGUCAAAAAGUACGUGAAAUUGUUGAAAGGGAAGCGCUUGAGACCAGACUCAGGCCCGGGCAAACAUCGCGCCCCUCGGGGCCGUGCAAUUGCCUGGGCCUGGGCCAGCAUCAGUUGGCGUGGCGGGACAAAGGCGCGGGGAAUGUGGCUCCCCUCGAGGAGUGUUAUCAGGCCCGCGCUCAAUGCCGCCGACGUCGACUGAGGACCGCGCCUCGGCUAGGAUGCUGGCUUAAUGGCCUUCAGCGACCCGUCUUGAAACACGGACCAAGGAGUCUAACAUCUAUGCGAGUGUUUGGGCGACAAACCCUUGCGCGGAAUGAAAGUGAGCGGAGGUGGGAACCCCCCAGCGGGGCGCACCAUCGACCGAUCCUGAUGUCUUCGGAUGGAUUUGAGUAGGAGCAUAGCUGUUGGGACCCGAAAGAUGGUGAACUAUGCCUGAAUAGGGUGAAGCCAGAGGAAACUCUGGUGGAGGCUCGCAGCGGUUCUGACGUGCAAAUCGAUCGUCAAAUUUGGGUAUAGGGGCGAAAGACUAAUCGAACCAUCU
rnacentral:rRNA from 1 species